rnacentral:lncRNA from 1 species
CUUUACUCACAUUCGAGAAAACACUCCCAAUAAGAUUGCUUGCUCCAAAAUCGAAGAGGCACCGUCCUCCAAAUCUCGAGAGCCAGACUCCCAACAUGACUACUUUCUUGAAAAUCGAAGAGAGGGUAAAGGAACAGUACCAUUGCUGGAUAAUUGGAAAGUCCCUGUGUGUCAACCUCUGUGCUUCGUGGCAAGGUAGACUAGCAAACAUGCCCAACCUUUACUCACAUUCGAAAAAACACUCCCAACAAGAUUGCUUGCUCCAAAAUCGAAGAGGCACCGUCCUCCGAAUCUCGAGAGCCAGACUCCCAACAUGAUUACUUUCUCAAAAAUCGAAGAGACACUGCUCCCCGAAUCUUCGAGAGCCAGACCCCCAGCAUGAUUGCUUUCUCAAAAAUCGAUGAGGCAUCGUUCUCCGAAUCAAUCGAAGAGGCGCUCGCUUUCUCAAAAGCUGGGCUGCUCAGAGACCACGAGGGCCGAUCUCAGAAAUCGAAGAGGCACCUACUUUUCUAGCCUUGUCAGCACCCGUCACACGCAACAAUAGCUCAUGGGUACCACAGAUAACUUUGCCAAAGUUCUCUGCCAAAGUUGAGCACGUGAAGCUUGCAGCUCCCACUACAUCGCUCUGACCAAGAAAGGUAAAAGAAUAGCAAAGAAACAGCACUAACAAAGUUUAGACACAUAAAUUUUGAAGGUCUAGCUACCAUAUUAUUACCCAUAAGGGUAAAGGAACAGUACCACUGCUGGAUAAUUGGAAAGUCCCUGUGUGUCAACCUCUGUGCUUCGUGGCAAGGUAGACUAGCAAACAUGCCCAACCUUUACUCACAUUCGAGAAAAACACUCCCAACAAGAUUGCUUGCUCCAAAAUCGAAGAGGCACCGUCCUCCGAAUCUCGAGAGCCAGACUCCCAACAUGACUACUUUCUCAAAAGCGAAGAGAGGGUAAAGGAACAGUACCAUUGCUGGAUAAUUGGAAAGUCCCUGUGUGUCAACCUUUGUGCUUCGUGGCAAGGUAGACUAGCAAACAUGCCCAACCUGUACUCACAUUUGAGACAACACUCCCAACAGGAUUGCUUGCUCCAAAAUCGAAGAGGCACCGCCCUCCGAAUCUCAAGAGCCAGACUCCCAACAUGAUUACUUCCUCAAAAAUCGAAGAGACACUGCUCUCCGAAUCUCGAGAGCCAGACCCCCAGCAUGAUUGCUUUCUCAAAAAUCGAAAAGGCAUCGUUUUCCGAAUCUCGAGAGCCAGAUACCACAGACCACUUUUUCAAAGUGCUCUGACA